UACGUAGGGCGCAAGCGUUGUCCGGAAUUAUUGGGCGUAAAGAGCUCGUAGGCGGCUUGUCACGUCGAUUGUGAAAGCCCGAGGCUUAACCUCGGGUCUGCAGUCGAUACAGGCUAGCUAGAGUGUGGUAGGGGAGAUCGGAAUUCCUGGUGUAGCGGUGAAAUGCGCAGAUAUCAGGAGGAACACCGGUGGCGAAGGCGGAUCUCUGGGCCAUUACUGACGCUGAGGAGCGAAAGCGUGGGGAGCGAACAGG
rnacentral:rRNA from 1 species